CGUCUUAACGAACUGCCUCAAUUCUGUCGCAGGAUUUCCUGAGGGUCCACUGUGCCCAAGACAUUGAGAUGGACACAGAGAGACCCACACUUGGUGGACGCUAAAACUGGAAGGCACUUUGCACUAUCCCAGGCACCAUGAGGAAUGCAAUAUUAUUCAGACAGAGCCCUGACCUCAAAAAGCUAAAAAUCCAAACGAGGAAAUAAGACAGAACCACAAGGAAUUUCAGUCAACGUGGUCUUCUUUGAGGCCUUUAUGUACAUGGGAGGUACUCAGCAAAUGCUUCCUGAUCAUCUGUCAUGGGAACCAACAGAUAAAGGUGAAAAUGGCUCAACCCAGCAUGGGUGAUUAAAAUUUAAAAAUCAAAUUUUGUAGGGUACAGUUCUUUGUGUAGUGGUACAAUGUCUGACUUUUUUGAAUCCUAAAAUGUCGAACUUAUCGAAGGACUCAACUUCUACCUUUGGAGGAUGAGAUUAAGAAUAACUGCACAACACUCCUGCAAAGACCAAGAGAGACAGGACACAUAAGUGCUACGCACAAGUUGUAGAGUAUGGUUCCCUGACCCAUUACACUCGAUGGCACUCGGGGUUAAGGAUUAUAAUUUGACGAGUGCAUUGAGGGUAAAUGGAUAAGGCAGCCUAGAAGGAGUUCUCGCUGCCCCAGGGACCCUCAUAGUACUGGCCGCUCCU